rnacentral:sRNA from 1 species
AAAUAUUUAUAAAAAAAAUUAAACGCGUACGAAAUUUACCAAAUAUAUAACCGUCCAAUUAUAACGCAAAAUAUUACCACGUAUAAAAAUUUACCGUUUAUAUAUAUAUUUAAUAAAAUAUUCCCGUUUACCACGUUAAAGAUUUUUAUAUAAAUUUGGGAAAAGAAUAAUAAUUAUUUAAAAAACCCAUAUAAUUUUUUGGACGAAACGGUAUUUAAUUUUGCAAAUAUUUGCCAAAUAAUGCAAAUCGAAAUUUCCCAAAUAUAUGCGGUAUUUCCGUUAAUAUUAAAAAAAAUAAACGAAUAUUUCUAAAUAUAUGUAAAUAAAAAUAAAACGUUUAGGAAAAUAUAUUUAAUUUUAAAAAAACGAUUCGAUUCCGACCUAAUACGUUAAUAAUAUUAUUUAAAUUGGAAUUCUAUUAUAUUUUAUUCGUUACGUAAUUUGGCCGAAAACGCGAAUAAAAUAUUUAAAUAAAUUUUGGAAUUUUUUUUUAAUAAAUUAUAACGGUAUUAAAAAAUUAUAAAAUUAAAUUACAAAUUAAAAUACCAAUUUGUCAAUAAUAUAAUACGGGCGAUAUAAAAAAUUCCUAAAUUUAAAAUAGCGUUUGUAAAUACGAAAAAAAGUCGUUUAAAAAAUUAUAUAAUUAAUUCCGCCGGUUAAUAAUAAUCGAAAACAAAUUACAAUUUAACGGUUAAUAUUUGGUAAAUCGCAAAUAUUAAAUAAUAAUUCGAAACGAAUAAUUAUAUUAUAGGGAAAAAUCGAAAUCCAAUACGCUAAUUAAAUUUAAUACCAAAUUUUAAAAUAACCGGGUUUGUAAAAAAGGCGGAUAUUAUAUUUAUAAAAAACAAAAUUGCAAAUCCUGGAAAUAUUCCAAAAAAAAAUAAUAUAUUAAAAAAAACGUUAAAAACGCGAAUAAAAAAAACGCGGCCAAAAUAAUUGUAAGUACCGUAUAUAUAUAUAUAUAAAAUAUAAAAGGGCCCGAAAAAAAUUAAUUUAAUAAUAAUUCCGAAUUCUUUAAGACCGAAUUGGACGGUUUAUAUUACGAAAAAUUAUUUGCAACGAAUUAUUAUAUAAUAAAAUAGGGGGUAAAAUUAUUAACCGACGAAAUCUUUUUCCACAAAUUUCCAAAAAUUCGCAAAUAUAAUACGGAACCGUUAUUUAUAAUUUACAAAUAUAACGUAAAAUUUCCAAAAGUUCGCGAACACCGUACGGAAUAAUUAUUUAUAAUUUACGAAAAUAGCGUAAAAUUCCCAAAAAUUUGCGAAUAUAAUAAAAAAUCGUUGUUUGCGUUUUAUAAAUAUAACGUAUAAUUUCCAAAAAUUCGCGAAUAUAAUUUGAUUAUGGGCGGUAAUUGUUUAAAAUAAACGUUUUUCCUAAACCGUAUUAAAUGGGAAAAUUUUUUCCGGAUAUUGGUGCAACGGAAUAUUUUACAGCGGGAUUUAGGCAAUUUAUUAUUUUAAAACGCCAUAAUCCAAAAUUAUAUAUAAAUAAAUAACGCGUCGGAAAAAUAUAUAUUUAUUUUGGUUAAAAAAACGUGGCCGUUUUAUUGGGAACGGUAAAUAUUUUAACAUUUAUUGGAAAAAUUACGUUUUAUAUUAUAAAAACCGAUAUACUAUUUUUAAUUUCGUUAAAAU